rnacentral:rRNA from 1 species
AUUGAACGCUGGCGGCAGGCCUAACACAUGCAAGUCGAGCGGAGCGGCGGACGGGUGAGUAAUGCCUAGGAAUCUGCCUGGUAGUGGGGGAUAACGUCAGGAAAUGGGCGCUAAUCCCGCUUAUUAUCAGUUGAGUCUAGGUGGGAUUAGCUGGUUGGUGGGUUAAAGGCCUACUAGGGCGACGAUCCGUAACUGGUCUGAGAGGAUGAUCAGUCACACUGGAACUGAGACACGGUCCAGACUCCUACGGGAGGCAGCAGUGGGGAAUAUUGGACAAGGGGCGAAAGCCUGAUCCAGCCAUGCCGCGUGUGUGAAGAAGGUCUUCGGAUUGUAAAGCACUUUAAGUUGGGAGGCGUUACCAACAGAAUAAGCACCGGCUAACUUCGUGCCAGCAGCCGCGGUAAUUC